AUUGAACGCUGGCGGCAGGCCUAACACAUGCAAGUCGAGCGAGCGGCGGACGGGUGAGUAAUGUCUGGGAAACUGCCUGAUGGAGGGGGAUAACUACUGGCAACGGUAGCUAAUACCGCAUACCAUCAGAUGUGCCCAGAUGGGAUUAGCUAGUAGGUGGGGUAACGGCUCACCUAGGCGACGAUCCCUAGCUGGUCUGAGAGGAUGACCAGCCAAACUGGAACUGAGACACGGUCCAGAAUCCUACGAGAGGCAGCAGUGGGGAAUAUAGCACAAUGGGCGCAAGCCUGAUGCAGCCAUGCCGCGUGAGUGAAGAAGGCCUUCGGGUUGUAAAGCACUGUCAGCGGGGAGGAGUUACACGCAGAAGAAGCACCGGCUAACACCGUGCCAGCAGCCGCGGUAAUUC
rnacentral:rRNA from 1 species